UACGUAGGGGGCGAGCGUUGUCCGGAAUCAUUGGGCGUAAAGAGCGUGUAGGCGGCUUGGCAAGUCUGACGUGAAAGCCCGCGGCUCAACCGCGGAUUGUCGUUGGAAACUGCCUCGCUAGAGUCCGGAAGAGGAGAGCGGAAUUCCUGGUGUAGCGGUGGAAUGCGCAGAUAUCAGGAAGAACACCCGUGGCGAAGGCGGCUCUCUGGGACGGUACUGACGCUGAGACGCGAAGCGUGGGGAGCGA
rnacentral:rRNA from 1 species